rnacentral:rRNA from 1 species
AGUGAACGCUGGCGGUAGGCCUAACACAUGCCAGUCGAACGGCAGCACAGUAAGAGCUUGCUCUUACGGGUGGCGAGUGGCGGACGGGUGAGGAAUACAUCGGAAUCUACUUUUUCGUGGGGGAUAACGUAGGGAAACUUACGCUAAUACCGCAUACGACCUACGGGUGAAAGCAGGGGAUCUUUGGACCUUGCGCGAUUGAAUGAGCCGAUGUCGGAUUAGCUAGUUGGCGGGGUAAAGGCCCACCAAGGCGACGAUCCGUAGCUGGUCUGAGAGGAUGAUAAGCCACACUGGAACUGAGACACGGUCCAGACUCCUACGGGAGGCAGCAGUGGGGAAUAUUGGACAAUGGGCGCAAGCCUGAUCCAGCCAUACCGCGUGGGUGAAGAAGGCCUUCGGGUUGUAAAGACCUUUUGUUGGGAAAGAAAAGCAGCAGGUUAAUACCCCGCUGUUCUGACGGUACCCAAAGAAUAAGCACCGGCUAACUUCGUG